rnacentral:rRNA from 1 species
CAGUAGCCGCGGGAAUACGGAGGGUGCAAGCGUUAUCCGGAUUCACUGGGUUUAAAGGGUGCGUAGGCGGGCAGGUAAGUCAGUGGUGAAAUCUUCGAGCUUAACUCGGAAACUGCCGUUGAUACUAUCUGUCUUGAAUAACGUUGAGGUGAGCGGAAUAUGUCAUGUAGCGGUGAAAUGCUUAGAUAUGACAUAGAACACCGAUUGCGAAGGCAGCUCACUAAACGCUCAUUGACGCUGAGGCACGAAAGCGUGGGGAUCAAACAGGAUUAGAUACCCCUGUAGUCCCUGUCUCUUAUAC